rnacentral:rRNA from 1 species
GUUAGGAAUAUUGGACAAUGGGGGCAACCCUGAUCCAGCCAUGCCGCGUGAGUGAAGAAGGCCUUCGGGUUGUAAAGCUCUUUCGACGGGGACGAUGAUGACGGUACCCGUAUAAGAAGCCCCGGCAAACUUCGUGCCAGCAGCCGCGGUAAUACGAAGGGGGCUAGCGUUUUUCGGAAUUACUGGGCGUAAAGCGCGCGUAGGCGGUGAUCUUUGUCAGAGGUGAAAGCCUGGGGCUCAACCCCAGAAUUGCCUUUGAAACGGGAUCGCUAGAGUCCGAGAGAGGAUGGCGGAAUUCCUAGUGUAGAGGUGAAAUUCGUAGAUAUUAGGAAGAACACCGGUGGCGAAGGCGGCCAUCUGGCUCGGUACUGACGCUCAGGCGCGAAAGCGUGGGGAGCAAACAGGAUUAGAAACCCGGGUAGUCC